CUAAAGGGAAUCAUUUUACUUAUUUAAAACAUUUGCUUUAAAAUGUUUCUCAUUGUAGAAGCUUUUAAAACAAAACAGUUUAAGUAAUUCUGAGUUUAGAAAAUACGUCAGCUUUUUGAAAACCGAACUUCCUAUGACUAGCAGCUAUAAUUCUACAAAAAAAUAAAUAAAAACCAAAUUUAAGCAAAAGUCUCAAUAGUCCGC
rnacentral:lncRNA from 1 species